rnacentral:lncRNA from 1 species
AUGGAUCGAUUUUGGGCUUCCAUUGUACCAAGAAGCCUGGAUAUCUCUUGCUCCAAGAAACCAGGUACCACAUCCCAUGAAUUUUCCGAAUUUAUAUUAUCCAAUUAGUUAAAAAAAUUCUCAUAUUAUCAAUUACUUAAUUUUGCAUUAUUGUAUUAAUACAAAAUUGUGAUUGUUAUGAUUGAGAAAGUGUAUCCCUUGAUAAGUAAUAAAAAUACGAAUUUAACAUCACAAAGCAUCGUCGCUACGUAAAACGGUGCUUGUUAGGAAAAAAAAUAAAAAGGACAGGAAAUGAAAACAAAGAAAGCAACCAAAGUAUUAAGAGAUUUGAAAAGAAAAGAAAAAACAGUACGUACUAGAGAAGAGAUUUGCAAUCAUGGUUUAACUUAAGGAGUUUGGCUUCGCCUAUGUAAUUAUUGAGAUAUUAAUCAAUUCUUCCAAUUGGCAAUCACUUUUUCUUAGUCUAUUAAAGUCAUUUAUGAUUUAUAUAAACAUCCAUCGACCUGAGAAAAUCAUAACCUCGUAAUGAUUUGAAUUUUAUCAUUCUUCCAUUUUUUUGGCAAAAUCAUCAAUAACUUAUUCAUAAUCAAGAUUUUUAAAUAAUCAUAUUCAAUAGAAAUCAAAACAAGUUUAUUUAACCUACCUUGUGUCAUAGUUUCAGAUAAGAUUUUAACAAUUUUAAAUUCGAUAAAUUAGUUUUUUUUUAGUGUAUAGAAUAGGAACAACAAUAGUUAAUAUUCUUUUAUAAGUUGUAUAUGCAUUAGCAAAACAAUUAAAUGUUUUCGAAUAACUAAAUCAUAAAGUUUGAUUUUGAUUCAUUGUUGAAGUUUGAAUCAUAACAAUUGUAAUAUUUUUUUUUCAAAAACUUUGAUUAUGUAAUUAUGUUAACACUAAUAGUAAUGGAAGGAAAUAAUUUGUUAUAUUUUUCUCUUUUACGCUUAACAUUGUACUUAAAUUAUUGAUUCUUUUUCUGAAAAUUGUAAAUAAAUUUUGUUGAUAAGUUUAAUGGUAACUUUCGAUCGGUGACACUUGUUUGUUGAAGACUUCAAGUGAACUUUAUACUUGGAAAAAUCAGUCCAUUAUUUCAUUUCUAUUUAACUAUUUAAAAAGAUCAAAUUUCUACUCACCCCCUCCCCACCAUUCAUCACCUCACCUACACACAUGGCCCAUUUUGUUUUUCUUCAUCUGUUUCUCACAGGGUAUCAGCCAGGCCCAUUUUCAUCAUGUAUUUAGUUUUCUUUUUCUUUUUUUGUUAUUGAGGAGGGGCAAAGCCUCUAAACACUAAACUGACCCUCCCAGUCCUAAGAGAGAUCACAGAGGACAGAUCCAGGGGGUAUGAGUACGGAUUGCCCAAUCAUCACUUGGAGUGCCUAAAACAAAUAAUGAGAUGCCUUAAAUAGUUACCCAGAUAAUCCUGAACCAGAAGCCUGUUACAAGCAACGGGAGCAGAAAUAAGGACAGACAGGGUAAUGGUUGGUUGUAUACAAAAUUCUAAAUUUACUGACUCGAAAUCCAACAUUCCAUGAAGAUUAAGCUUAUGGGAUUGUAGCCUUUUGGAUUAUAUUCAAAUUGGAUGUUUGGUUUGCCUCGACAUCGAGACAAUUGGCAUAUAUAUAGGAAAGCAAACAAGGGGAAAGAAGGAAUUAUAGGAAUCUAAAACUUGAAUAAGUGAGAGACAAUAUUGCCUCAGUAUGACAUAAAAUUCGUGAUGUGAUACUUUAUCUUCCUUACAGCAUCAUGCCAGUAAUAAAAAUUCAUAAUUUUGAAUGUUUUCAGACUUUUAAAGUAGUAUACUGGUUUAUAUUCUGGGAAACAUAUUGGUAGAGUUCUUCCUCUUCUUGCAAAUUUACUCUAUUUUAGCUUGUCUCCCUACAUUUUGGUAUCAUUUUAGCAAGUCUUUCCCCCAAACUGGCUUUAUUUCAAUCUAUUUCCUGCAAGUUUGUUCCAUUUUAUAUGCAUUACAAAUAAUAUUCAUA